rnacentral:lncRNA from 1 species
AUGUCAAAGAGCAUACUGCCUAUGGUUUCUUGUAGGCGUUGCAUGGUUUCGGGUGUGACAUUCAGGUCAAACCCGAGGAGGCUGCGGUUCCCCGAGAGCGAGCGUAGCGGGGCCCCUGCGUCCCUGUCAGCGCACCUGGCCGCUGCGCGGAGGUCCGAAGCAGCGUGUGGGCGGGGCCCCAGGAGUUCUCCCAGGAGGGUGUCCCUGUGGCUGUCCGCAGUCCACCGCCGGAGGGGGGGCGGGGCAGCGGCCGGGGAGCGUGGGGCCGCGGCGGCGCGGCGGCGCGCGCGCGCGAGGAGAGGAGCGCGCGGCUGCUGGGCCGCCGUCCUGGGAGGCGUGGGAGGCGUCGGCCAGCCGCGCCUGCCUGCCCAGAGCCGAGCCCGGCGGAGUCCGGCCGCGCUCGCUGUGCUGCUCUCUCCCGGGCCGGGCUCGUCCGUUCCCCCGGCGUCCGUGGACGGCGCUCCGUGUCCCCGCUGGGCACAGCAGCCCGGGCCCUCCACAGCCACGGCCGCUAGCCUGAGGAGGCCGUCCUUCAGCUCCCGCUCUUCCUGCUCGCCGGACACGGACGACCAGGGCGCCUGCGAAGAGGAUUCCAUCUGAGAGAGGUACCUGGGGGGCGUGGGCCUGGGGGCUGGUGGGAGGCGAGCGUGUCCCUGAGGAAUAGGCUUGUGCGCCGAGAGGUGCCCGUCAGGUCGCGGGACAGCUGUGCGGCGCGGGGAGCGAGGGGGUCUCUUCGUGCGCUUGAGGCGUUCGUGGAACGGGCGGUGUGUGCCGGGCACGGGGCCAGCCUGGGCGUGCGGUGCCCGGGAGUCGGGCGCUGAAGCGCCAGCCGUGGCCUUGGCUUCUUGGAAGGACAGACGCGAUGUCGAUAAGGACACUGGUCUCGAGGCGUUCUCAGGAGUGCGGGUUUCCCUCUUUUCGAGGCUACGUUCCGUUGGGGUUUUCACGAAGCCUGUUGUGGGCCUGAAGCUCAGGCCGGUUCAGGGGAAGUGGCCUUAAAGAUGCUCUGGUAAGGACAGCAUUUGGUAGAGUGAUGUACAAUGGUUAAGAUCAUGUGUCUAGUCUUAUUAAUCAUAAAUAAAGGUAAAAGAGCCCUUAAAUGAGAUCUGUGG